rnacentral:rRNA from 1 species
GCUGCCUACCAUGCAGUCGCGCGGACAGUAGCAAUACUGUUAGCGGCGGACGGGUGAGGAAUACAUAGGAAUUUGCCUCAGAGCGGGGGAUAGCCCAGGGAAACUUGGAGUAAUACCGCAUGAUGUCGAAAGACCAAAGCUGGGGACCGCAAGGCCUAGCACUCUGAGAGGAGCCUAUGUCUGAUUAGCUAGUUGGUAGGGUAAUGGCCUACCAAGGCGACGAUCAGUAACUGGUCUGAGAGGACGAUCAGUCACACUGGAACUGAGACACGGUCCAGACUCCUACGGGAGGCAGCAGUGGGGAAUAUUGGACAAUGGGCGCAAGCCUGAUCCAGCAAUGCCGCGUGUGUGAAGAAGGCCUUCGGGUUGUAAAGCACUUUAAGCAGGGAAGAAAAAAUUCAAGCUAAUAUCUUGAGUCUUGACGGUACCUGAAGAAUAAGCACCGGCUAACUCUGUGCCAGCAGCCGCGGUAAUACAGAGGGUGCGAGCGUUAAUCGGAUUUACUGGGCGUAAAGCGUGUGUAGGUGGUUGUUCAAGUCGGUUGUGAAAUCCCCGGGCUCAACCUGGGAACUGCUUCCGAGACUGAACGACUAGAGUACGGUAGAGGGCGGUGGAAUUUCCGGUGUAGCGGUGAAAUGCGUAGAUAUCGGAAGAAACACCAAUGGCGAAGGCAGCCGCCUGGGCCUGUACUGACACUGAGACACGAAAGCGUGGGGAUCAAACAGGAUUAGAUACCCUGGUAGUCCACGCCGUAAACGAUGAGAACUUGACGUCGGUUUGCUCUGCAAGUCGGUGUCGUAGCUAACGCGAUAAGUUCUCCGCCUGGGGAGUACGGCCGCAAGGUUGAAACUCAAAGGAAUUGACGGGGGCCCGCACAAGCGGUGGAGAAUGUGGUUUAAUUCGAUGCAACGCGAAGAACCUUACCUGGGCUUGAC